GUGGGGAAUCUUGCGCAAUGGACGAAAGUCUGACGCAGCCACGCCGCGUGAGUGAAGAAGGCCUUCGGGUUGUAAAGCUCUGUCGGAGGGGACGAAAACGCUUCAGGUUAAUAGCCUGAGGAAUUGACGGUACCCUCAAAGGAAGCACCGGCUAACUUCGU
rnacentral:rRNA from 1 species